rnacentral:lncRNA from 1 species
AAAAAAAAAAAAAAAAAAAAUUAGCCUACAGUGGUGGCGCUUGCCUGUGGCCCCAGCUGCUCCGGAGGCUGAGGCUGGAGGAUCACUUUAGCCGGGGAGGCAGAGGCUACAGUGAGCCGAGAUGGCACGACUGCACUCCAGCCUGGGCGACAGGGCGAGACCCUGUCUCAAAAACAAAACAAAACAAAACAAAAGGAAAACAAAAUAAAAAGAUUCUCGAUCCCAAACUAGACCUACUGAAUCAAACACUCGGGGUGGGCAGGGGUAGGGGGCGCGUACAACAAUCUGUUUGAACAGAGCCCUCCCGGGGACACUGUUACACACUUAAAUUUGAGUGAAAACCACCACUGAUCUAAGCGGGACAGGGAAGUGUCUGGGAGUAAAACAAGAGUAGAUACGCCUUGUUUCGCAGAAUUUCUGUCUGAAGUACUAGUAAAUGUGAUUCUUUGACACUUUCUGGUGAGCGGAGGCUGCACACUGUUCAGGUUUCCUUGCUCUGUUAACUCUGACUUUCGGUAAAUUGCUUCAGUUUUCUAAGCUUCCAUUUCCUUCUAUGUAAAAAAGUGAAAAUAAUACCACAUGGAGUUGCCUGUAGGUUAAAUUACAUAUUUUAUGAAAAUCACUUAGCACAGCUCCUGGCAAAACCGAAUAAGUGCUAUCUACGUCAGCAUUUGGCGUUUGUUGCCCUGGGCAUAAAAUACCCUAGGACCCCUCUUUCUAUUUCGCCUGGCUCAGAAGUUUUGACGUGGCUACUGAAAUACAAGACAAGGCCUGCUACUUACUAGUGCUGCUUUUAGUGAAAGUGUGCUAAAAGUAUUUAUAGAUUUUAUAGCUUUAAUAAUAUAAAAUGUCAAGAACAGGCAGCAAUUUGGCAAGAGAAAUUCCAGAUUGCAUUUUACAGCUUCUAUGAUAAAUGACUGUUACAUAAGCAGGAAACAUACCUCAUUGAAAAUGGCAACUCUUUUGGCAUCUAUAGCAAAUAUAAUGAAACAUGCUGUUUAAUAUUUCACUUGGCAGAAAUUGUAUUUUU